rnacentral:rRNA from 1 species
AACGUAGGAGACAAACGUUAUCCGGAGUUACUGGGCGUAAAGGGCGUGUAGGUGGUUUCGUAAGUCUGGCGUGAAAUAUCUCGGCUUAACCGAGGCAGGUCGUCGGAUACUGCGGAGCUGGAGGACGGUAGAGGCGUGUGGAAUUCCGGGUGUAGUGGUGAAAUGCGUAGAGAUCCGGAGGAACACCAGUGGCGAAGGCGACACGCUGGGCCGUACCUGACACUGAUGCGCGACAGCAUGGGGAGCAAACAGG